GCUGCAGAAAUAUAAGUGUGGAGAGUACCAAGACCUCGUUGAAUCUGUGCUGGGGGAGAAGCUGCAUCUUGAGGAGGGGAAGCUGGCAGAGCAGUGGGCGCUAGCUGAGAAGCUCAGGGAAUACAAUAUCCGAAUUCGAGAUCAGGAGCAACAACUGACCCAUUUACGGCACCAGGUACAGGAAGGGAGAGAAGUGUCGGUCCUACUCCAUCAGCACCUCAGUGACCUCCUCACACAUGACG